rnacentral:rRNA from 1 species
AACGAACGCUGGCGGCAUGCCUAACACAUGCAAGUCGAACGAGACCUUCGGGUCUAGUGGCGCACGGGUGCGUAACGCGUGGGAAUCUGCCCUUCGGUUGGGAAUAACUGAGAGAAAUUUCAGCUAAUACCUUAUAAUGUCUUCGGACCAAAGAUUUAUCGCCGAGGGAUGAGCCCGCGUAGGAUUAGGUAGUUGGUGGGGUAAUGGCCUACCAAGCCGACGAUCCUUAGCUGGUCUGAGAGGAUGACCAGCCACACUGGGACUGAGACACGGCCCAGACUCCUACGGGAGGCAGCAGUGGGGAAUAUUGGACAAUGGGCGAAAGCCUGAUCCAGCAAUGCCGCGUGAGUGAUGAAGGCCUUAGGGUUGUAAAGCUCUUUUACCCGGGAUGAUAAUGACAGUACCGGGAGAAUAAGCUCCGGCUAACUCCGUG